ACCGAGCUGCGUCACAAGUUUAUGAGGGAGUUGUUUCACAUCUGAAUGAAUGACUGGACCCAGUGUCGACUGGUUGCUUCCAAACACAGACUGUGGCCCUGGUGAAAAGCAAUGGAAUAUUCAGGGCAGAGGUAAAGAGAAGAGGAUUGUUCAGAACCACGGUGAAGAUGUUCAUCCUGUCCCUUUGAGUUGGAUUUAAGCUCAGAGCCCGGAAGUAAGAUGCCAGGGAAGCAUUUCUGAACUACAGAACUAUGAUUGCUCAGUGAGGAUUGGUAGCUAAAGCAACGAGAGACACUUUCACCCUCUGCCCACUGUUUCCUGUGAUUUGGGAUCUUCCGUCAGAAUUUCAUUUACAGCCAAAUUGAUGGGAUCUUACUCUGCGUGACUUUAAAUACAUGCUGUCAGUGGUCUUAGCAGCUGUAGAACUGGCAAGAGAACUGCAUUGCCUCUUCUCAUGAAGAUCUGCCAAACGACAUGCCAGUCAGCCUCCUUGUGAAUGCACACUAGGGCUCCAGAUGGGCACUGCCCCUGCCGAAAUGGUGCUUUAUGGCAAUGAAAUCAGCCACAUAUGGGCAUCGGUUUUUAUGGUGUUCAGGACCUUUUCUCAGCCUUCAGAUACGAAGGGAGAGAAUCAUUGGACCAGAAAAUGGCUAUGAUUACACACAGCAGACCACACAAGUCCCUGAAGAACCCCCACACUGAGGAGAUAUGGAAGACAGCACAUGCAACACGGUGAUCAGUCUGGAAUCUGAAGCUUUAAUUUUGUGCCAAUAAUGCUGGUAAGCCAGAAAGCUUAAAGGAAAUCAGAUACUGCCAAGGACAGCAAACCCAAAGUAAACUCAUUGCAACUCACAACACUGAAUAAUAACUCAAGGAACAAUACUAGAAGAGUUUCAGUCCUGAUCAUAGUUCUAGAAAAGAUGAAAUCCAAGCCAGAGAUAUACAGGUGGUCUGUGGAGGAGACCCCAAGUCCAAAUUCAGUGUUGAAUGAACAGACAGUGGAGAUUGUUUAAGUCAAAAUGCAAGCUCCCUGAUACAAGUAGAAACUCAAAACAGUGCGGUUAUUUGGGGAAAAUCAGAAAUAUUGGGAGUGUCUACCACAGAGUGUAAAUCCCACAGGCCACAACGAGAAAUUGAUAAAACUAACAGAGCCAAGAGAGAAACUCACAUAAUCUAGCAGCAAAGAACUAAGGAAAUUAUAAACUCCAUCAUUUAAAGCAGAUAAGCAUGAGUAGUUGUGAUCUUAUAAAAAAAAGUCUGCUGUGAUACUCCAUUGCAGACAUAAAAUGCAAUAAAUCUGCCAUUAAGUUGCAAAACAUGGCAAAACCUCCAGUAACGCUGUGUAGUAAAAGCCCAAGUGAACCAAGAUUACACCAUAAGUAAUCUUCAGAGAAGAUAAAAGACUGAAUCAUAUUAGAAAGCUACGGUAUCAGAUACAGUGUUGUCAGAAGGAUGUAAUUUCAGAGAUGGACAAAAUAGAAUAUAUGAUACCAGCCGGUGGAGAGUUUGCCCCUCCUAAUUUCCAUUGACUCCAGUUUUGCUGGGGUUCCUUGAUCCAUACUCAGUCAAAUGCAGCCUUGAUAUCAAGGGUUGUUAUGCUUACCUGUGGACUAUCAUGUUAAGCAUUUUUGUGAUAUGUAUAAAGGUGUGUAAAGAUCAUGAAGCUGCAUGAUGUACUGGUGUCUAUCUGCUGCAAUUUUGAUUGGAUGUUUUCUUUCUGAAGUCAUCAUUCCAAAAGUCACAAGCCAUUUAAUCUCAGUCUUUUGACCUGACUAAGCCAACCUACUCUUGAGUGAUUUGUCAGAACCUUUGGCUAGAAUAUCUUUAAUGGCCACCUACAUUUGCUUGUGAUUCUCAUUCUGGCCAAACACUUGUGUGCAAAAUGACUUGGCUUCUUGCAGUGAAAACACAGCCUUCUUCAUGCUGGACAUAACUUUUUUUUUGUGCUGCCCUCCAAGGUAUUUGCAUCUGUUUGCCCUUUCGGUCUGGAAUGUCUAUCUGUGAAUAACUAGUUAUCGAUUUACAACCUCAGCCUUUCUGCACAUGUUGAUCACUCUCCUGAGAGCAAGAUUCUCCUCUCACUGUAGAUGUGCUCUCAAUGCAGGAUUUCUUAUACCUAAUACAAUCUUCUCUUUAAUUAGUUCAUCUUUUAGUUAUGCAGUCAGAGGAUUUUGAAAGUUGUUUUAAUGCAGUUACAUAUUGGGCCCUAAUAUUGAACAUAUAUGGUUGAUAAGUUAUAUUCACUUGAGGUUCAAAGCUUACCUUCAAGGCUUUUUAAAGAUUCUGUUUCUUCCUAUUCUUCAAGCAGGUUUAAUGUGGAUAACAGUCUCUUUCCAAGAGUAAUAAAGGCAUAGCACACACAAGUGCUCUGGGUUGUUAAGUAAAUCUGCUACAAACUUAUAGCCUUGUCAUUCUAUGUAUCAGUUCAGUUUUAUUUCACAUUUAAUUUUGACCUGUGCUGGAAGCGGAACGUUUAUAGCCAUUGUGUCUUAUCCACUGCUUUCAGCUGUGGCUUGCUUAUUUGUUCUUUUCCUGUGGCUUUUUGCCAUGUGUUCCUUUUUUAGUAACUGUACUUCUAUACAGCUCGUCAACAUCUAAUCUCAGCCACACCCAUAUACCAGUUAAGAGCUCACAGAACAGCAGUCUUGUUUGUAUCCCAAACACUUCCCUCUAGUUGAGACCAGGUAACUCGGUAGAGGCUGGGAGAUGUCCUGGGACCUUCUUAGUGUCAUUCUCCCCGUGCUCCAGUUUCCUCCUGCAAUCCAAAGACGUACAGGUUAGGUGGAUUGGCCAUGCUAAAUUGUCCAUAGUGUCCAGGGAGGUACAGGUUAGGUGGGUUAGCCAUGGGAAAUGCAGGCUUACAGGAGUAGAGUGGGAUGCUCUUCAAAGUAUAAGUGUGGACUUGAUGGACUGAAUGGUCUGCCUCCACACUGCAGGGAUUGUAUGAUUCUAUGACAUAUAUCAUGGAUUACUAAAUGUCCACUAAACUAUUUGCUGAUCCACUAAUAUCAUAUUGGAAUAAUAUGUCCCACUGUGGGUUUGGUUUGAACUGAGUGCAGUUGUAGUUCUUUCUUGCAAACGAUGUGAUGGUUUGUACCUUUCCACAUGCCAUAAAUCCAUAGUGACAAAAACAGGCGAUACUUCGGUGAAAAUAUUUGUGAAAGCAAAGGUUGUGUUUGUUUGUUACUCAGAGUGACAAGACCAAUAGGGAGAGAUUAGUUGGCAGCAUUCCAUGUAUAAAGUAAAGCAUUGCAGAUGAAUGUGAAAAGAAUGACUCACACCCUGUAUUAUAAAUCUGUCAAGAGUUUGGAUAAUGUCCAAUGGCUUAAGAACUUUAAGAAUUUAUUUUGUUGUGAACUGCAAAGCCACAGUCACUGAAGCACUGUAAUACGCCACUAAUCAAACUCAGCUAUCUCUCCCUCAGGAUAGGACCCACCUUCCACAUGCACAAUGUGUUUCUUUGGAUACUAGAAUCAGCCUUGAUAUUCAUGAGUUAGAGAGGUUUACCUACACUGAAAGUGAGAAUGAAUGGCAUUAGGAAUGUAGGGUCUGGAAGCAGGAGUAGGCCAUUUGCCCCUUCAAGCCUGCUCCUUGAGCUCUUUUUGAAGCAUGGCAACAUUGACAUUAAUG